CGGUUGUUUACUUCAACGGCAAUUGUGGUCGCCUAACAGCACCAGGCCCUAGGGUUUGGAGUUUUACGUAUGAGUACGGACAUGGAAGAUAAGGAUGAAUAUGUUGAAAUUGUAUUUCAUCAGUUAUAGAGAAUAAAGGAAGAAGCAACAA